AAUCUGCCUAGUAGUGGGGGAUAGCUCGGGGAAACUCGAAUUAAUACCGCAUACGACCUACGGGUGAAAGGGGGCGCAAGCUCUUGCUAUUAGAUGAGCCUAAAUCAGAUUAGCUAGUUGGUGGGGUAAAGGCCCACCAAGGCGACGAUCUGUAACUGGUCUGAGAGGAUGAUCAGUCACACCGGAACUGAGACACGGUCCGGACUCCUACGGGAGGCAGCAGUGGGGAAUAUUGGACAAUGGGGGCAACCCUGAUCCAGCCAUGCCGCGUGUGUGAAGAAGGCCUUUUGGUUGUAAAGCACUUUAAGCAGGGAGGAGAGGCUAAUGGUUAAUACCCAUUAGAUUAGACGUUACCUGCAGAAUAAGCACCGGCUAACUCUGUGCCAGCAGCCGCGGUAAUACAGAGGGUGCGAGCGU
rnacentral:rRNA from 1 species